rnacentral:rRNA from 1 species
GUAGGUGGUUUAAUAAGCGAAUAGUGAAAUCUGGUGGCUCAACCAUUCAGACUAUUAUUCGAACUGUUAAACUCGAGAGCAGAAGAGGUAGCNUGGAAUUUCUAGUGUAGGAGUGAAAUCCGUAGAUAUUAGAAGGAACACCGAUGGCGUAGGCAGGCUACNUGGGCUGUUUCUGACACUGAGGCACGAAAGCGUGGGGAGCGAACCGGAUUAGAUACCCGGGUAGUCCACGCCGUAAACGAUGGAUACUAGCUGUUUGGGGUAUCGACCCCCUGAGUAGCGAAGCUAACGCGUUAAGUAUCCCGCCUGUGGAGUACGAUCGCAAGAUUAAAACAUAAAGGAAUUGACGGGGACCCGCACAAGCGGUGGAUCAUGUUCUUUAAUUCGAUGAUAACCGAUAAACCUUACCAGGUCUUGACAUCCUUGGAAUCUUUCAGAAAUGAUAGAGUGCUUUUUAAGAGCCAAGUGACAGGUGAUGCAUGGCCGUCGUCAGCUCGUGUCGUGAGAUGUUUGGUUAAGUCCAUCAACGAGCGCAACCCUUGUCAGUAGUUGUAUUUUUCUACUGAGACUGCCCCGGUAACGGNGAGGAAGGAGGGGNAUGACNNUCNGGUCAGUAUUUCCCUUACGUCCNGGGGCUANAAACGUANUACANUGGCUAGUACAAUGCNCNACCNAANCCGCNAGGUGAA